GCCACCGAAUACAUUAGCAUGGGAUAAUGGAAUAGGACCCUGUCCUCCUAUUUUCAGUUGGUUUUGGCAGCGCGAGGACUAGGGUAAUGAUUAAUAGGGAUAGUUGGGGGCAUUAAUAUUUAAUUGUCAGAGGUGAAAUUCUUGGAUUUAUGAAAGAUUAACUUCUGCGAAAGCAUCUGCCAAGGAUGUUUUCAUUAAUCAAGAACGAAAGUUAGGGGAUCGAAGACGAUCAGAUACCGUCGUAGUCUUAACCAUAAACGAUGCCGACCAGCGAUUAGGAGACGUUGAAUACAAAACACCACCAUCGGUGCGGUCGUCCUUGGCGUCUCGGUCCUUCACGGGGCCGGGGCGCGGGGGC
rnacentral:rRNA from 1 species